UUUUUAACAACUAGUAAUCAAUGAAUUAAAAUAGUUGACCUAAGCAUCUGCAAUGGUGACUUCAGCCUUCACUCCUGGGCACAUUACUAAUGGAAGUAAUGAGCUGAUAACCUCAGAGGACGGUGCAAGUCAAUGAGUCACUUGUGGAUUCUUAUCUGGAAGACACCCUGCGUCUUAGAACCUGCACCACAAGUUUUUGUUGUUGGUGAUUCUCAAAGUCCUGGGAGGCAUCAGAAUUGGUCCUGUCACUUUUGAGAGUUCUUUCCUUGGGGCCUCUGAUCAAGUCAGCACACACCUCCAGGGAUUUUUCUUUGCAGCUGGUUAGGGUAAUUCUAAUUCGGUGAUUUGCCACCUCUGGCUCCAUGAGUGUUUCUCUGGUGUCCUUAAAAGCCACAGCUGGCUGCAGUGCAGCUUCCUGACCAACUUGUUUCUUGGUGAGUGAACAGCGGUGACUUGCAGCAGGAACUGGCGGACCAGAGCUCCGUAGCACCCAUAACCUCAUCUUCCUGAAAAA
rnacentral:lncRNA from 10 species